rnacentral:rRNA from 1 species
GAUGAACGCUGGCGGCGUGCCUAAUACAUGCAAGUCGAGCGAACGGACGAGAAGCUUGCUUCUCUGAUGUUAGCGGCGGACGGGUGAGUAACACGUGGAUAACCUACCUAUAAGACUGGGAUAACUUCGGGAAACCGGAGCUAAUACCGGAUAAUAUUUUGAACCGCAUGGUUCAAAAGUGAAAGACGGUCUUGCUGUCACUUAUAGAUGGAUCCGCGCUGCAUUAGCUAGUUGGUAAGGUAACGGCUUACCAAGGCAACGAUGCAUAGCCGACCUGAGAGGGUGAUCGGCCACACUGGAACUGAGACACGGUCCAGACGCCUACGGGAGGCAGCAGUAGGGAAUCUUACGCAAUGGGCGAAAGCCUGACGGAGCAACGCCGCGUGAGUGAUGAAGGUCUUCGGACCGUAAAACUCUGUUAUUAGGGAAGAACAUAUGUGUAAGUAACUGUGCACAUAUUGACGGUACCUAAUCAGAAAGCCACGGCUAACUACGUG